GAUUGCCCCACCAUACCUUUACCAUUAGUGUAGUGGCGAGGUUCUGUUGUAACGUAAUGAAUUUUAGGAUAAUUUAGUAUUAGGUUAAAGAUAUUCUAAAAGUAAAAUGUAGCACUAAGCUUAUUAUAUUUACCAUAAAAUGUUCUGGAAUAUGAAGUUUCUAUGAGAGGUGGCAAGUUUCGUUAGGAGUCUUAAGAUGGCAGAGUCAUCGCCCGGUUGAUUGCGUAUCCUUGAUUGUCCAUAUCUAUCCAAGGGAAGUUACAAGGAUAAAGAUGUAAGACUCGGUUUAACUCGUCGAACAUCAUGGCAGGUCGAUUACAUCCCUUACAUUAGGCCAGUACUUUAGCAGAUUCAAAAAGUAUUUAUAUGGCUCGCGUCGGUACGAACGCUAAGGAAUACAUCCGGUCAUCGGUGUAGAAACGUCCCCGUUUAGGGAUCUUUCUAGUUGGUUACGCAGAUGUUUAGUUGGAGCUACAGGCAGGCUUGUUCGCUAUGUAUCACGGUAGCCACGAGAUAGCUAAAGCUCUUAGUUACGAUCAUUAUACUCCAACUUGAGUUUAGAUGUUACUGGCUGAAAUAGUUACAUUUGUAAGUUUCGGAUACAUACAGAUUCAAUUACAUUUAUACAUUACAAACCCUUUUCCUUUAAAAUAUAUUGAGUUAAGUGCUAUUCAAAGUAACAUUAAAUCAGGAAUUUCAACACAUAUACAUAUGUAUAAAUAUAUAUAAAUAUAUAUAUAAAUCAAAAAUUAAUAAUUUGAAAAAUACGGGAAUACUUGAACAAAAACAGAAUAAGAGAAUAAAACCAUAACUAGAGAAGAAUAUCAAUAAUAAUCAGCUUUACAGUUACUAGAAGAAUUAGGCUAUACAAUCGGAUGAUAGCGUGUUCAUUAGUUUUGUGGGGAGAAGUUUUGUGUGCAGUUGUAAUAGUGAUAAUGUUUUUUUAAGAAAAGUAUUAUAUGUAACACGUGAAAGUUUUAAGUUUAGUGAUAUUUUGAGAAUUGAGUUCAUGGUAGAUGUAAUGAUAAUUAUUCACCGCUAUUUAAUUAAAAAGAAUAUUGUUCGAUAAGUUACUAAGAUUUAGAAAAUAAAGAGAAAUAAUCAAUAUUCUGCGACAUGACCAUAUUGAAAAGGUUGAUUGAUAAAAGUAAUUGAAAUACAGAGCAGAGUUGAUUCAGAAAUUAAAAAAUGUUUUUAAAUACUCAAAUAAAUACUCAACAUACGUCACAUUUACGUUGAAAAUAGCUUCAAAACAAAAGGAUGAAAAAAUCGCAAGAUAUUCUCGUUUAAGUGUGCAGUUAGUGUCAUAGUGGAAUGUUUAAUUAGUGAUGAGUUUUUUUUAAAUAUAUAUACGGAAGAAAAGUUAUACAAGUUAAAAUCUAUAUAAAAGUAAUAAUUUGAAAAGGUAUAGAAAAUACCGCAAUGAGUGAAAGAGACUUGAUAAAAUCGGUAAUGAUUACAAUAAAAAUAUCCAGAAAAAAUAAUUCACUGAUUUUAAACUACGAUUAUUUGUAGGAUUUCGUUCAUGGAAAAUUACAUUAAGAUAUAAAUUUUUGAACAACUAAUUUCUACUCAGCAGAAAAGUAAUUCGCUAUUAGAAGGAAAAUAAGGAAAUUUCCCUAUAAUCAUGGAAAGGGUAAUACUGACGUUAACAUCGAGAGAUAUUAGAUAACAUAUAUGUACAUUAAAAAUCAGAUAUAAUGAAUAGCUCAACCGUUCCAUUUUUACAGCAUUUUGUAAGACAUGUAUUAAUGCCACUUUGGAAUAGAUUUCAUGAUUACAUUAAAUGAAUGCUUCAAGUAUCUUAAUAUCUUCAAUUAGCCUUAAAAUAGGAAACAUUAGAGGCCCUCAAUUUUACUUACCUUAUGCAAUUGGUUGAAGUAUUUUAGCAUCUUAAAAUAGCAAUAGAGAUAAAACACCAAAAACGUAAUAACGGAUGUUUUUAAAGAAAAUGACGGAAACUAAAACACUAAGAACAAUUUUUACUACGGAAAGAAAUCUGAAAAAUCAAAAAAAAAUAAAAAGAAACGUAUACCUAAUAAACGAAGCCGAAUAUUUAUAUUUAAUAACCGAAGAAACUAUUUAAUCUAACAGAUAUAAUCACUACAAAUUUUAUAUUCACAAGUACACAAAUACUCAUGAUAUUUUAUUGAAUUGGCCACAUGAGAAAUCGAACGUAUGAUGACUACUUGUCUUAGCUUUUUUAAUUCCAGAUAAAUAACAAUAUUGGUAACAAGAAUGUUAUACAAAAUCAAAUGUUAACACAAAAAAUGUAAUUUUAACAUUACAAGAGUACAAUUGAUAUUAUUUGGCUUGAAACCGUAUUACAUUUCAAAAUAAUGCAUAAUAUAGUGCGAUAUUGGCUUGACCUUUUUUAUAUUUAACUAUUUAAACUAAAAUUGGUACAGCAUGGUCUAGAUUGUUUAACACUAGGGAUAGUCACAAUUCACAGCUGACUGCACUGAAUAGCACUUGGAUGACCCUUGGUUGAUGAGUAAGGUUUGUUUUUAGCAUCUGCUUGUAAAUAUAUUUUUAUUUGUUCGAUAUAUCACGUGAUUCGUCUUCCCUGCGUUUCGAUCCAUGUGGAUACAUCGAAAACGUAGUACACACCUUACUAUGCUUAUCAGCGCCACAUACAUUGUUCAAGUAAUUUAUUUCAGAUAAAGGAUAAUAUUUAAUGUUAUAGGCUUAAUUGGGAUUACUUGUGGUGAUUAACAAUUUUCUUUGGAUCUUGCCUAUAACGUUGUAUUUGAAUGAGCAUGAGAUUAGGAGGGAUUGGUUUAGUCAAUUCGCGAGUUGUUUGUUGAAAUGUUGCUAUAAGAGUGUGAAAAGGCUUGGAUAUUACUAGUGCAUUUCUGCAGAUAUACAUUCGACGCUUUUCACGCCUUUGAGAGUUAGGAUCAUGAUUGUCAUCGGUGUCCAUACGGGUAUGUAACUUUUAUUAAGUCACAAAUUAAUAACGAUACACUACUAGCGCCCUAUUUCAAUGGUUUUUUGUAACGUUAUUUUCCUCACAGUAUUAAUAACAAUUUACAUACUCGCUUUACUUAUGUGAAAUGGUUUUAUAUAAUAUACGUUGUUUAAUUUUUUUUUUUUUUUUAUGCUAUUAUAAUAAAUAUUAUUUCAGUUUGUGUAUCGGUUACACGGUUCUUUUGGUAUUGUAGUUGUUUUACUCAUUACAAAACUUAUGAAAACAGAAUUUUCUUUAACAUUUCUUAAAUUUUAAUUUCAUAAUACAGCACGACUAGGUCAUCAAUAUUUUGUUUUCAGCUAAUCUAAUCGAUAGAAAAUUUAGAAAGAGCAAAUUUUCUACAUUGCAAUAAAAAUUACAUUAAUACACACUAGAAUAAAUGGAUUUAUACACGGAGAAGAUUGUUCCUGCACCAUAUUGCUUUUCAAUCCACGAUUUUAUCAUUAUGCCAGUUUGUUUCUUCGCAUUAUAGUCGUCUGUAAGCUCAGAAAAUACCCACCAAGCUUGAGUCACGUGGUUUGUUUGUGGUUCCGUGUAACAAUUAUAAAACGAUAUUUUGAUAAAACGCAAUAUGCUAACUAUCCAAAGUGGUUCUACUAUGUAACUAAAGUAACCGUUGCUGCUUCCAUGCAUCGUCCAAGUCUUCUUAAAAAUAGAUAUGCUUUUAUUUGCAUUUCAACGAUUUUUAUGUUUGUAGACACAGUUCAUUUUGAUUACAAAAUUUUCUGUGAUCUUUAUAAAAUGCACCAACAAUUCUUUGUGGCUAACUUUAACAUGUGAAUGAGCAUGGAGCUAGAUGGAAUAUGUCAUAUGAAAUCGCGAUUUCUUGCAGGUUUAGAUGGUGUGUGAUAGUUAAACAUUUGUUGUCACUUUAUUAUUCUUAUAUAUGGCACAUACAUCGAUGUUGGGUUUACUAGAGGCAAUGCAAGAUUUUCAUGAGUACAAUGCGAAAAUAUGUGCUUAAGUUAUUGUUCAUCUAAAUGCUACUCAUCGGUGUUUAUGUAAUAUAUUAAAGAUCUUUUAUCCCUCAUUGUAUUAAAUGCUUUUUAUUUUUAAUAGAGCUUUAAUAAUUUGUGGAAUGUCACUAUGAUACUCUUUUAAUCCUAUUGCUGUGGUGAUUCGUCCCUUUAUAGUAAAGAUGUAAGGUCCAAAAUUAGUGUUUAUAUCCAUUAACACUUUUUUCAGUCCUGGCAUAUGUUGUCGAUAUGUUUUGUAUAUGUUAUAUAAUAGUUAACACUCCAGUGUAGCGAGUAUGUUACUCUGUAUCACAGGAUAUGCUUUGGGAGAAUGAACAGUAGGAUCACGAGUGCGAGAACGAGCUGUCGCUUGAAAAUGAAUUCACUUCAAUUUAUUAUAUUAUAUUAUGCUUAAAUGCUUUUGUAGGAUUAAUGCCUUAACGACCCAAGAAGUAAUUAAUCUCUGCAAAAAAGAAAAACCAAAUUAAGUUUGUCUUAUUUCGUUUGUUGUGGUUAAGUGUUCGUUUGCCGUUUGUUAGUAAAAUUAGUUCUGUUUUUUAGUGAAAAAUUGUGAAUAGUGAAAAUGAAAGCAUGAAUACAAAAGUUACGUUUAUUUGAAAUGGUUUUAGCAAUCUACCUACAGUUAAUAUUUAACAAAAAUAACUAAAGCAGACUAGUAAUCAUGAGAGAAAUUUUAGAGUUCUAAGUGUCAGUGGUGAUGUGUUGUGAGUUGAAUUGGGAAGUUUAAAUAAAUAUAUUGCAAAAAGUUAAUUAAAUUCAUAAAAUAAUUAUAGUAUAGAGAAACGAGAAAAGUUGAGUUGAUGUGGAAAGUUGGUGUUAGUGAGAUCUAAAUAGUUCUCAGAUUGAAUGCUUUUUCUGUUAUUAAUAUUUUUUUUUUACAGAUAAUUAUAUAUAGUCAUAUAAAUUAAGUAUAAUAAAUGUUAACACGUCAUUAAAACUCAAUGCAAUAAAAUAUAUUAGAAAACUAUAACCACUAUUAUUUACAGAUUAAUGAAAUUAUUUUUAUAAUAAUUCCAGGAACGUAUAAAACUUUUUUCUUAACUUUUUUUUGCAGUUGCCUGUUUUUGACGGCGCUCAAUUAAAUAACGGUUUACGUUAUAUAAAUGUAAAACGUAUGCGUACAAUAGCAAAACAUGUAUAAAAAUAAUGAGAGAAAUUAACAUGCCGAGAGUUUUUGUUUUAACGUUUUAAUUUCAGUUAAAUUUCUAAGAUUCCGUAGGCUCGAUAUCGGCAGAGUAACAUAAUACGAAUAUAAUGUAGCUCUACACAUACGACACCGAACGAGAAAAAUAUAGGUAAAAUAAUAUAAUAAGAUUAUUGUUAUAAUAAAUAAAAUCUCUGCUAGCGUUAUAAGGACAUGUACUUUCCCCUUGUGCCUUUUUUUAUAUUAUUACAGUUCGUGAUUUUAUGGCGUCUGUCGUGGUUUCGGUGAUCCAACCAGCGGCGUCUGCGUAUAAUUAUAUUUUUCUCAAACUUAUUUUGCAGGUAUUAGACAUUCUUCGCUUGCGUUUAAUCGGUGGAUAUUUUAUUAUAACAUUAAAAGGUAAAUCUGAACAAAAUUGUUUAAGAUUAACAAUAAAUGUCCUUUCUUACAGAGACAAUACAUAACGAUAGAUGCAAUCAAUAUUAAUACAUAUUUUUUAUCUAUUUAAACAAACAGGAAAUAUUCAUGUAAUCCAUAAAUAAUGAUGUACAUUCCAAAGGUUUUUUUUUAUUCUCCUAUCACUAAAGAUUCAUGAACCUUUUUUUUGCAUAUAUAUUUCUAAAUUUAUAUUUUUAUAAUUAUUUUUAAAGAAGUUAGAUGACGUUACUUCACGCCGACGCGGUCACUGUUUACAAUAUAACGUUUUUACCAUUAUUUAGACACAUCCAUUCGGAAUGCUAGUGAUCAGUUCAAUUCAUCAGAUUUAUUACAACACAUUUGACUUAUUUGGUUGUACUUCGAUAAUUAUGUUGAUUGUAUAUAUAAAAUGCAUAUACUUCCUAUUAUUUACUUAGGUAAUUAUAAAUUAUUUUUUUUUGCGUUUUUCGUGUAUCUUUUCACAGUUGAGGGUCUCGACAAAAGCUAAACGUAUAAAUCUGAUCGAGUGGAAUGCGGGCUACGAAAUUUAAUUUUGCACAAAGGCAACGAAUGAGAACGGUAUGAUAGAAUAUAGCCUACUCCAAACAAUUUUUCCCUAUUUAUAUAUAUUUUAUUUCAAUUUGAGCUUUACGGCGCAUGCAGCGGAAUAGGUAGCAAACCAAGAUUUUCAUUGCCAUAAUCUAACAAAGCAGAAAUGCUUGUUAUGCUUUUUUUCGUGUCGGUACAUUUUUGCAGUUCCGGAUUCUUUCCGACGCCUUCUUACGCCUUGUCACGUUCCACGUAACUCCCGAAGGAGAUCAAAUUAAAUUUAAAGAAUUAACAAGGCAUAAUUUAAGCAAAUGAUAAUACAAUAUAAAGGAAAAAUAUUGAGGCCUGAAUCUGCAGUCAUGCACGGACUUCAAAGUAGCAGGUAAAAUUUUACCUUUAGUUCGUGUUUUUAUAUUUAUGUUCACAGUUACCAGAUACGCGGUCGUUUAUUUAUAUAGAAAACGGGCGGAACAGCCAUACGUUAUGUUUAAAAUGUCAUAUGACAUAGUAAAAAACUUAUAAAUCAGGUAUUUACAUUAAUAACUGUAAUCUUUUAAACACUAAGCCUUUUUGUUUGCUUUUCUGCGUGCUGUUUGAUCUUUUUACAGUUGAAGAUUUCUGCACAAGUCUAAACAUCAUUUCCUGACAUCGAGUUAAAUUCAAUGGUUAUAAAUUGGUAUGAAUACAUUGUUUGCUGACACCAAGUAGAAUAUGUUGAUGCCAAUGACGUGUUAGAAGCAUGACUAAAGUUAAACUAGUCUUAAAAUCUCUAACCCUUUACCUCUUAACGUCGUUUUCUUGUGUCCCUUAAUUAUUGUUUGCAGUUAUCACGCUGGCAGAUAGCGGCAUACACUACGAAGGACAACAAAUUCGAGCCUGUUAGCCUAACCAAAAUCUGAUUGCACUCGUAAGCAAAAUCCGUAGGAGCAACUGUACUGUACGACUCAAUAGUAGAAGUUAUUGUGACACUCGCAUGAUUAUUUUCAACUACACUACACAACCUAUAUAAAAAGAUUUGAGUAUGUUUUUCGUGUGCCUCGAAAUUUUUGCAGUUCAGAGAUUCGUGCAGAUAGAUAUUCUACGGAGAAAGAAAACGAUUCUACGAUAGUAAACGUCGACGGUGUGUUGGUUCACUUGCAUUGGCUGUGAGUUGUAUUUUACGCCUUAUACCUUAAAUAAUUAGUCUAUUAUCUUAGCUAUAAUAGUUAAUAUAAUAAGAACGAUGUAUCGACGCAGUUACAUGGACCGACAGCAAGGUUCUGUCUCGGAAUAUCGUAUGUAUUGGCCAUGCCGCAUAUUAUUAUAGACGUAACGUUGCUGAUGCUUUCAAUUAGACAACUUCGAUCUAAAUAGGUAUUUAAUUUAUUUUUGCAUUUCUACGCGUAAAUAACAUCACUACAUCAUCUUUGUGUAGCAAGUUCUGUGUGUAUGUGUUGUUAGUUUUAGCGUAAGAGAUAGUAUUAACGUUAGGUUCUGCUUAACUCUGGUACGCAAGGGUCCAUGAUCAUCUCAAACUAACUAGGUAUGAAAAUACGAUUUCUUAAUAUUUUAACAGGUAUUAAUAUCUAGCGAUAGAAAGUCGAAUGAAAAACAUUUGAAGUAAAUGUUUGCCUGCGAGAAAUAUAUUCGUGUCGUCCUAAUUGGUACGUAACAGUUUGGUAUUUGAUGAAACAGCGACGAAAGUAUUUGGCUGGUAGCGGGUUUUAUAUACAAAGUAUGUAGAUAUUUAGAAGCAUAUUGGUGGUUGUUUUCUUUCGAAUGCUUGAGUAAUAAGUACUGUGGAUUGAAUAGUUCGUAUCAGUGAACGCAGGCUAUCGUAAGUUUUAAUAUUAUUUUACAGCUUAGAAAAAUCAUGAACACAAUAAAUUUAUACAAUAAUUUAAGAUUUACUUAUUACCUGAUAUAAUUAACAAGAAGUUCCUAAUAUGUGUUAGGUCUUAAUAUUUAAAUUAAUAUAAUAUACAUGAAUAGUAUUAAACAUAAUUUACUUUAAUCUUUAGAUUAUAAUUAUAUAAAAAUAAGUAUCAUGUCACCGAAAAAUAAGCUUAAAAUAUUAUAACGAAAAUACAAUUUAUAAGUAAUUGUUUGAUAACAUGGUUUUUCGCAAUAUUUAUGUUCUAUUUUUUCAGAUAUACAAGCAAAAAUUACCAUUGAAAAUGUAGACAUAAAAAACUUGCCACUUAGGAUAAAUGUAUUUAAGGAAGUACCUACAUAGGUAGGUUAGUAGGUACUUACUUAAACUAUUAACUUAAUUUUUUCAAAUAAUUUUCAGGUUAAUUAAAUAAUUCGUAAAAACCGGGCGAUGACAUAUAGGGGGUUUUAGUCUUAAGUAUCAAGUUAUGUUUCGCAACUAUCGAACUAGGCAGAUAUAUAUGUAUUUUAAAAAUUAUAUAUUACCAAAUCAACAUCAAAAUUAAUAUAUAUAAUUCAAUACAAAAAUUGGCUUAACUUCAAUUUAAAAAAAAGGUGAUGCCUGUGGAGUUUCUUGCGCCGCUUCUUCUCCACAGAAGAACACCUUCCGAAGCGGUAGUAGAUAUUUUCAAAAUUAAAAAAUUAAAUGUAAAUUAAGAAUAAAUCAAUGAAAAUAAAUUCAAAGAUAUAACUA